UAAGGACUUAACUCAAGCUAGCUGAACCUGAUUGCAGUCAAUCAGGUUGUGCCUGAGAAGUCCUUAAUCAAAGCAUGCUUCCAGGCUGCAGGCCUUAAUGGUUGUCAGAUGCUGUCUGCCCGGUCUAGAGCUUAACUGCACCUUGGAGAGAUCUGCCUCCUGCUUUUAUCUGUGUCAUGGGACCCCAGAAUAUGCUCUCUUCAGUAUGUUCAGAUAUGAAGGGAGUCCUGAUGUGGCAGGAAUCUGUCCUGAUCUGACAUUUCUGCAGGAAAUGUUACGGGAUUAAUUUCAGAAUCCCCUGAGGUGCCUGUUGGCUUUGUCCAGAAUCAUUACUCACUCUCUGCUACAUACACAGGCUUAUUAAAACAUGGUGAGACCUUA